UACGUAGGGGGCAAGCGUUGUCCGGAUUUAUUGGGCGUAAAGAGCGUGUAGGCGGCCAAACAGGUCAGCUGUGAAAACUCGAGGCUCAACCUCGAGACGUCGGUUGAAACCGUUUGGCUAGAGUCCGGAAGAGGAGAGUGGAAUUCCCCGGUGUAGCGGUGAAAUGCGCAGAUAUCGGGAAGAACACCCGUGGCGAAGGCGGCUCUCUGGGACGGUACUGACGCUGAGACGCGAAAGCUAGGGGAGCAAACGGG
rnacentral:rRNA from 1 species